AUGGGGCUUUUCAAAUUCUCAGUGGGUUUUUGUGACAAAUAUGAGCGUCUCAUCAGAGAGUUCUGGUGGGGGGAAGAUGAAGGACAAAGGAAAGUACACUGGAUGUCAUGGGAGCGUAUGAUUAAGCCCAAGAGAGCAGGAGGGAUUGGUUUUCGUGAUAUGCAGAUUUUCAACCAAGCCCUCCUCGCAAGACAAAGUUGGCGCCUGCUUCAGAACCCAAAUAGCCUUUGUGCUAGAGUCCUUAAGUCAAAAUAUUAUCCUAAAGGAGAUCUCCUUGAUACUGUUUUUGCUUCGGACGCAUCCCAAGCAUGGAAGGGCAUUGAACAUGGCCUUGAGCUUCUGAAAAAGGGGCUGAUAUGGAGAGUUGGAAACGGGAAGAAAAUUCAGAUCCAAAGAGACCAAUGGGUCCCAAGGAAAAGUGGGCUGAAAGUAACAGAGUUUAAGAGACGAUCAAGGUUAAGGUGGGUAAACCAGCUAAUGAAAUCAGAUAGCAAAGAAUGGGGCGAGACACUCAUCCACCAACUGUUCCAUACCUAUGAUGCUGAAGAAAUCUGUAAGAUUAAAAUUCCUAGAUAUGAAGCUGAGGAUUGUGUUGCAUGGCAUGAAGAAAGGUCUGGCUUGUUCACUGUCCGAAGCGCAUACAGGUUGGGUGCAAGUCUCAAACAACAUGGCGACGCGCUGGCGUCAAGCUCGUCUCAUGAUGCGGAGAAUAGAAGCAUAUGGGACCUCAUAUGGAAAACGAAAGUACCGGAAAAGCUCAGGAUUUUCGCGUGGCGAGUGGCAAUAAAACACUCCCCACCAAAGAGAAUAAGUGGAAAAGAACACUUGAGCUUGACAACAUCUGUAGUAUAUGUGGGAGGGAGCCGGAGGAUGAGUUCCAUGCAACAAUUAAUUGCACAAAGGCCCGUGCACUCCGAGAGAAAAUGA
rnacentral:rRNA from 1 species